AGAGAGAGACAUGCGCGCAUAUCAAUAAGCGGAGGAAAAGAAACUAACAAGGAUUCCCUUAGUAACGGCGAGUGAAGCGGGAAGAGCUCAAAUUUGAAAUCUUCAAGGUUUUACCUUGACGAAUUGUAGUUUAAAGAAGUGUUUUCUGCUGAAGUUUUGGUAAAAGUUCUUUGGAAUAGGACAUCAUAGAGGGUGAGAAUCCCGUAUUUGACCAUUAUUUUCAGCUUUGUGAUACACUUUCAAAGAGUCGGAUUGUUUGGGAAUGCAGUCCAAAAUGGGUGGUAAAUUUCAUCUAAAGCUAAAUAUUGGCGAGAGACCGAUAGCGAACAAGUACCGUGAGGGAAAGAUGAAGAGAACUUUGAAAAGAGAGUUAAACAGUACGUGAAAUUGUCAAAAGGGAAGCGUUUGACACCAGUGUUGUUUUCUCGAGAAUCAAUUAAAAAUGGCUCGAUUUUGUAUUGCUGAGACCUUAAAAGCUCACUGUACAUUUUUCGUGUCUUUUUUAAUGCACUUUUCGUUUAACAAGUCAACAUCAGUUUCUUUUGUUGUAAAGGGUCAUUGGAAGGUGGCUUUCUUUUCGGAGAAAGUGUUUAUAGCCUUUGGCCUCUGCAAUCGGAGAGACUGAGGUCUGCAGCGUAGACUCUUCGGGGUUAGAUACAUUUGUGCUAAGUUAUAGCUUUUUAUAGACAACUUGUUGACUAUAAUUAGUCUUGUAGUUUACUCGCUUAUGCUAUUUUACCUACGCUUAGGAUGUUGAAGAUGUAGCACAUCAU
rnacentral:rRNA from 1 species